GGUGGCUGUGCCCAGGGAGCAGUGCCACUCUCCCUGGCGGUCUGGAUCCUCUUUGGUUCCCCACUAGGGACAGGGGUGGUGUGAGGGAGGGUAGAAACUGCCUCCUAGGAAAAUGAGAAGGAACAGUCCUGCUCCAGCCACUCCCGGCACCCUCUGAGCUGACCAACCCCAGCUCUUGCUGGUGGCAGCAAACGUGGCUGUGGGGAGCAGUCUGUGGGAGGUGAGCCUGACACCUGGAAAUCUUCCUUCUAGUAAAUCUGGAAACUGCCAGGUGGGUUGGCCUGCUUUCCUGGUUUUCUUCAAGCAGGGGCGUAGUGGGAGGAGGGUGCCUCCACGUCAUCACUGCUGGACCUGUGGUGUCUCUGCUGCUGCAGAAUCAGACCAAGGCCCCCAAACACGCUCUCUCUCCUGGUGCCUGGAGGCUGGGGGUGGGGCCCAGGUCCUAGGAGAAUGGGAGUGACCAGAGCCCUCUGAGCCUGGGUUGGUGGGGGUUUGGGACUGGCAGAGGCCAGGGAUGGGGGUGGGUACUGACCACUGGGGUAUGGGUGACUUGGGCUGGUCACAAGCCCUCCCUGGACCUUGGAGCUAUGACAUCCCGGGAGAGUGUUUCUCUCUGCAGGGUAGAUGGCUGCGUGGAGUCGGGGACUUGCACCUGCAGCGGCAUCUGCACGACUCAAAGCAAGGGCAAGCUCUGCUCCGUUGGAGGCUGACGUCUCCCUGCUCUCUGGCAGCAAAUGUGGGGCCAUGGAGGGCAGGAGGGAGGCACUGUUUGCACCAGGCCCUCACCAUACAUCCUGCCACAACCAGAAGAACCAGCCCUGGGCUGCAGAUGGCUCAUUCUGGAGGGUGACUUCAUUUGUCUGAAUAGUCCCCGGAAGCAGGGAGGGUCUAGGGGAAGGCGCCUUGUUGUGUGGAUGGGGACACUGAGGCUCCAAGGAGCAGUGACUCAGCCCUUGUCCCACAGCCUGAGGGGGUCAGUAGUGGAGACGGGCACGGGAGGGGAGUGGGCCCCGCUUCCGUGCUGGGAAGAGGAGCCAAGCCCCAGCUCCUCCCCAACCUCAGGCUCCAGGCAGGGCUAUCUCUCCCUCCUGUAGAGCCUGGGGUCCACAAUUACUGAUGGCGUGAGUGAGGAGGGGUCAGAGUGUAGGAAGGACCAGAGACAGCCCCCAGACUGUGCCCCUCUGCUGGGGAAGAAGCCCUUCUCCACAAAGUGAGUGGGUGGGAGGCUCAGGAGGCCAGAAUGGGGGAGCCCCCCGGUGUGCCCAGAGAGCUGAGCCAGUAGAGGCAGUGGUUGCCAGGGGCUGGUGGGGAGACUUGAGUGACUUUGUCCAAGGACCCCAAGUGGGCCCAGGAUGCUGGGGACAUGUGCCUGGGCUGGAUUAGGGACCCAGCUAUGGGACUCAAGGAGGGACUCACAGUUCGUCCACACACUCCCUGCCCACUGCACAGAAUGUCAUCAAGGCAGAAGCUGCGGAUCUGUGGUUGCCCUGUAGAGCUGCCACACCUGGUCUCGUGUGAGGGACACACAUAUAGGACUCUCAGGCCAGGCCCAUGCCAGUGGUAGCUGCCUUCGGACCCCCCUUGCAGGGGUUGACCUGGCAGUAUGUCUUGUAGGGAGACGGAUGUGGUGGGGGACACUCAUCCAUGGCAUGACAUCGCUCUGCGUCUGGUUUGCACUGAGUCCAGGGGAAGGAGGAGACACCGGUCCUGACCCCAAGAGACAGUGCCUGCCCCAAGGGGACCUGAGGGACUGACAACAGUCCCUCAGCCCUUAUGCAGUGUGGGUCUAUUGUGGCAACCAAGGUUUUGGGGAGAUGAGGGGAACAGAGGGAGCAGAGCCAGGCAGGUCUCCCCACAUGCACAGAGCCGAGGGGAUAACUGAGCUUGACAGAGACCCGUCCUCACCCUGAGCUGUAGUGACCAUUUGAAGAAACAUCCCUGAGAGAGGCCCACUCUUUCUCCCACAACCCCCUGGGGUCCACAGCCUUCCCUGGAGGCACCAGCUUCCCGCUCACACUCCUGGGGUGGGGGCAAUGGGAGCCCCUCUUAGGGGUUUCCUGAGACUCAUACAGGAGUCCGGGCCCCUUGUUUGUGCAGAACAGGCACCCCAAGUGGGUCCAGGCUGCUGAGGACAUGUGCCUGGGCUGGACUGGGGACCCAGCUAUGGGACUCAUGGAGGGACUCACAGUUCGUCCACAGCCACCCUGCCCACUGCACAGAAUGUUUCACCCCGUCAUCAAGGUAGAAGCUGCAGAUCUGUGGUUGGAUCGUGAAGGGCUAUGACAGCCCCACCUUCAGAAGGGGGGCGUCAAACAUGCAGGAGGGGAGAGGACCCCCGAAGGUGGGCCUGGCACUCACAGAUUUCCCCAGAUCCCUGGAGCUGUCACAGGGGCAGAGCCUGGGGCUGGACAUUCGUUCUCCCCCAGGAACCCUGCUCCCUCUGUUUCUCUGCAGGGCCCCAGCACCCCAUCGUGGCCUGACUUUAGUGUAUUGGGAUUGUCUUUACCACCUUCUCCCCCAGAAGACUAUGUCUCCAGGGCUUCUCUGUCUUGUUCUUUGAGUCUGAGUGCCCAGCACAGUGCCAGGCACACAGUAGGUGCUUUAUAAACACCUGCUCAUAAACAUAACGCUAGCCACCAGCCUUUGCCAGGUGCUUUAUUUAUUUGGCCUCAAAUCCCCUAAUAUGCCUGUGACGCAGGGCUGUUAUUCCCAUUUCCCAGACAAGAAAACUGAGGCUCAGAGAGGCUGAAUAUCCUGCCCAAGGUUUCGCCCCUGCUUGCCCCAAUUCCAGGCUGCUCUGUCCUGGCUCAGUGGGGCUCUACUUUUCCUUCCUCCUGCCCUGAAGCCUGUGGCUCUGGCUUGUCCACCCAGGGCUGGGGGCCCUGCAGCAGCCCCCUCUCUCCCCUCAGCUUCUCUGCCCCCCUCCUCAGCCCCCUAAGCUGCCUCCUGCCUUCCCAGUCUGAGUUGGCUGGGGAGCUUGUAAAACAGCCCCACCAGCAGGCUUGUCCUGAGUGGUGCUGAUGCAGGAGUUGGAGCAGGCCUGCGAAUCUUCUUGGGGACUCUGAUGAUCUGUCUGGUUGGAGAAUCACUGCAAGCCAAGGCGUGGCAUUGGCCAAUGGUGAUUCCCGGCCUCCUCAGCCCCCGAGAGCUGUGCACACGGCAGGUGCGUGAUCUAUGGAGUUGGCUGAGCAGUUUGGCGCGUUGGUCAGCAACUUCCUGCAGCUUCUCAGCCCACGCAGAUCCUCAGGUCUGCAGUGCUGGGCUUGUGUAUAAUCCCACCCUGACACCUCCUGGAAUGGGGAACUUGGCGGGGGGCAGUGAGCCAAUGAGAAAGGGGUGUGUGUGCACGCACACACGGUGGGGG
rnacentral:lncRNA from 1 species